CCUACGGGGGGCAGCAGUGAGGAAUAUUGGUCAAUGGACGAGAGUCUGAACCAGCCAAGUAGCGUGAAGGAUGACUGCCCUAUGGGUUGUAAACUUCUUUUAUAGGGGAAUAAAACGCACCACGUGUGGGAUUUUGUAUGUACCAUAUGAAUAAGGAUCGGCUAACUCCGUGCCAGCAGCCGCGGUAAUACGGAGGAUCCGAGCGUUCUCCGGCUUUAUUGGGUUUAAAGGGAGCGUAGGUGGUUUGUUAAGUCAGUUGUGAAAGUUUGCGGCUCAACCGUAAAAUUGCCGUUGAAACUGGCAGUCUUGAGUACAGUAGAGGUGGGCGGAAUUCGUGGUGUAGCGGUGAAAUGCUUAGAUAUCACGAAGAACUCCGAUUGCGAAGGCAGUUCACUGGACUGCAACUGACACUGAGGCUCGAAAGUGUGGGUAUCAAACAGGAUUAGAUACCCCUGUAGUC
rnacentral:rRNA from 1 species